CACCCAUAUCAUGUUGAAACACCAGUUCCUAUAUGAUCACUGAAGUUAAGCAAUGCCAAGCUUAUUCAGUACCUUGAUGGGUGACCACUUGGGAAUACCAGUUGCUGUAA